rnacentral:sRNA from 1 species
AAAAUUGAGUGGAGAAAAAUAAACUGGAAAGAUAAAC